UUCCUCAGUUAUCUCCCUUUACUGCUUCGCCAAUAGAUGGCGCCAAUCACUACGGUCCUAAGUGUACUUCCGGCUUAAUGAUGGCGUUCAAAGUUUGUUGCACGGUCGAUUUCAAAUGCGCAGCAAUAUUACGAUGCCUGAGAUGUGCUGCCGUGCCUCGGGAUGCUGCAAUAGAAGUUCGACGUGUCCGAGAGGUCAAAACUUGCUGAAUAUGGUGGUUGACUAUCAUUCGAAGUAGCGAUGAAUGAAACAAAAGCAUGACGAGGUAGCUCUCGCUGGUCUCACUCUCAGUGUUGUCAACUUCUGACAGAGUGAUUUCGUUACUGUAACUUAUUAUGGUGCCUGUUGUCCACAAAGAUGAGACCCAGGUGAUUCCAGAAUACACAUGAUACAGGAUGAACAGGUCUGAGGCAACAGAGAAAAACAGAUGCUGUAUGACCAAUUCUUUCCCUGGACUGUAUCAGCUGACCCACUUAAUGCUGGUGGAUACUUGUGAUGUUGAAUGUAACAUCAGUGAGGUCGCUGGGGAGGAAACAGUCACCCAUGAUGAUUUUGAUGGCAAGAAUAUUGAGCCAAACAUUUUCUCUCCAUACUGGGCACAGGCCAAAUAUGAAAGUAACUGUAUAUCAACACAGAGAGACAAACAUGUC